AAACUUUUCACUUGACUAUGGGAAAAAGUGAAAAUGAAAAUGUUUUGUGCCAGGCAAGUACAAAAGCGAGUACAGUAAACAAAUACAAACACAAACACAAACACGAAACAGCAGCACAAACACAAGGAUCCAAGUCGCGCUCUCUCUCUCUCACCCACUCUCCACACGCAUGGACAGGAGCACAAGCACCGACACGGACACGGACAGGGACAGGAACAUAAUGGCAACGUAUAGCGGCACAGCAAGUCCUGGGCUUAGCGCUUAAGCCUGCUGCGACAGGACAUUUAAUCUGCUUGUAUUAAUGUGGGUGUGAGGCGGCCAGCACUGGCAGCGAACCAGGACAAAUGCCAGGCUUCAAGAACAACUUUCAGGCCAAAGCCAACAGACCGAAGCCGGCGCAGAGAGCGUGAAGUCAGCAACAGCUUCAAGUGGCUGUUUGGGCGAAAAGGGGGGAGGGGGAAGGGUUUGUUGGCCAAGGCAAAAAGGCCCAAACUCAAUCUGUGCCUUUCAAUACCAAGCCUUCUCAGUGUGUGUGUGUGUGAGUAUGUGUGUGUGUGUCGAGUCAUCUUGAGAAAUGUCAUGGGGCUAAUAUCAAAUGUGUCUGCCUGCGCAAAGCGUCGUCUAUUUUGAGGUUUGACACAAAUUGGCAUCUCACAACAGGCAAAAGCUGCGCACACAGACGAUACGAAUAUACCACAAACGAAACCAAAAAUACUCGAGUACUCGCAUUGUAUGUAAAAACACUUGAAAGUGGUAAACCAAUUCAUUAGUAUUGUGUAAAAGUGAGCUGAAUAAAAUUGAGCUUAUUUCGUGUGGUUGCACGAUAAAUUAA